rnacentral:rRNA from 1 species
AGAGUUUGAUCAUGGCUCAGAUUGAACGCUGGCGGCAGGCCUAACACAUGCAAGUCGAGCGGUAGCACAGAGAGCUUGCUCUCGGGUGACGAGCGGCGGACGGGUGAGUAAUGUCUGGGAAACUGCCUGAUGGAGGGGGAUAACUACUGGAAACGGUAGCUAAUACCGCAUAACGUCGCAAGACCAAAGUGGGGGACCUUCGGGCCUCAUGCCAUCAGAUGUGCCCAGAUGGGAUUAGCUAGUAGGUGGGGUAACGGCUCACCUAGGCGACGAUCCCUAGCUGGUCUGAGAGGAUGACCAGCCACACUGGAACUGAGACACGGUCCAGACUCCUACGGGAGGCAGCAGUGGGGAAUAUUGCACAAUGGGCGCAAGCCUGAUGCAGCCAUGCCGCGUGUGUGAAGAAGGCCUUCGGGUUGUAAAGCACUUUCAGCGGGGAGGAAGGCGNNCGAUUGACGUUACCCGCAGAAGAAGCACCGGCUAACUCCGUGCCAGCAGCCGCGGUAAUACGGAGGGUGCAAGCGUUAAUCGGAAUUACUGGGCGUAAAGCGCACGCAGGCGGUCUGUCAAGUCGGAUGUGAAAUCCCCGGGCUCAACCUGGGAACUGCAUUCGAAACUGGCAGGCUAGAGUCUUGUAGAGGGGGGUAGAAUUCCAGGUGUAGCGGUGAAAUGCGUAGAGAUCUGGAGGAAUACCGGUGGCGAAGGCGGCCCCCUGGACAAAGACUGACGCUCAGGUGCGAAAGCGUGGGGAGCAAACAGGAUUAGAUACCCUGGUAGUCCACGCCGUAAACGAUGUCGAUUUGGAGGUUGUGCCCUUGAGGCGUGGCUUCCGGAGCUAACGCGUUAAAUCGACCGCCUGGGGAGUACGGCCGCAAGGUUAAAACUCAAAUGAAUUGACGGGGGCCCGCACAAGCGGUGGAGCAUGUGGUUUAAUUCGAUGCAACGCGAAGAACCUUACCUGGUCUUGACAUCCACAGAACUUUCCAGAGAUGGAUUGGUGCCUUCGGGAACUGUGAGACAGGUGCUGCAUGGCUGUCGUCAGCUCGUGUUGUGAAAUGUUGGGUUAAGUCCCGCAACGAGCGCAACCCUUAUCCUUUGUUGCCAGCGGUNNNNNNNNNNNNNNGGCCGGGAACUCAAAGGAGACUGCCAGUGAUAAACUGGAGGAAGGUGGGGAUGACGUCAAGUCAUCAUGGCCCUUACGACCAGGGCUACACACGUGCUACAAUGGCAUAUACAAAGAGAAGCGACCUCGCGAGAGCAAGCGGACCUCAUAAAGUAUGUCGUAGUCCGGAUUGGAGUCUGCAACUCGACUCCAUGAAGUCGGAAUCGCUAGUAAUCGUAGAUCAGAAUGCUACGGUGAAUACGUUCCCGGGCCUUGUACACACCGCCCGUCACACCAUGGGAGUGGGUUGCAAAAGAAGUAGGUAGCUUAACCUUCGGGAGGGCGCUUACCACUUUGUGAUUCAUGACUGGGGUGAAGUCGUAACAAGGUAACCGUAGGGGAACCUGCGGUUGGAUCACCU